GGUACAGAAAAGAUUAGCAGGGCCCCUGCGCAAGAAUGACACACAAAUCCAGCUAAUUUAAUUUGUUUAA
rnacentral:snRNA from 1 species